rnacentral:sRNA from 1 species
AGACUUGAAGCCACACAGAUUGUGCACGCGCCGGAGCAGCGGCGCACCAGCCCCCGGCUCCGGCGCCACCAUCUUCGCGCUAAGCUCUGGCCAAGGCCGCUGCGGCAUCGCAGUGAUCCGGACCAGCGGCCCUGCCAGCGGCCACGCCCUCCGAAUUCUCACGGCACCCCGAGACCUGCCCCUUGCUCGCCACGCCAGCCUGCGCCUGCUCAGCGAUCCCCGCUCCGGGGAGCCUCUGGACCGCGCACUGGUGCUCUGGUUCCCAGGUCCCCAGAGUUUCACCGGUGAGGACUGCGUGGAGUUCCACGUUCAUGGAGGCCCGGCAGUGGUGAGCGGCGUCCUGCAGGCCUUGGGCAGCGUGCCAGGGCUUCGACCGGCGGAGGCAGGCGAGUUCACCAGACGGGCGUUCGCCAAUGGGAAGCUGAACCUGACCGAAGUGGAGGGGCUGGCGGACCUUAUCCACGCGGAAACAGAGGCGCAGCGGCGGCAGGCCCUCAGGCAGCUGGACGGAGAGCUAGGCCACCUCUGCCGUGGCUGGGCCGAGACCCUCACCAA